rnacentral:rRNA from 1 species
AUGGCUGCGGCGAGUGACAGAGAUUCUUUUGGAGACCUCCCCGACGAGCUCUUAUGGCGUGUGCUGUCCUUCCUGCCGGCGGAUGAUGCCCUGCAGACCUGCGUGCUGGACACCCGCUGGCGCGACCUCUGGAGGCACGCAACCAGCCUGCUAUUUGUCUUUGACGGGCCAACUUUCCCGCGAUAUAGCCGUUUCGAACAGUUGGUGAAGCCGGUCAUCCAUCUCCGCGGAAACUCACUUCUCGUCAGGUGUGAGAUCGAUACGUAUCCCGACGAUGAGCCGGAGGACACGUUCACAAACACCAGGCUGCUGAUUGACUACGCUCUGGCAUGCAAAGCUGAGGAGCUCGUGGUAAGAGCUGCUGAUGUUAAGUAUGACCAACCAGUGUUCGAUGUGCCUCUCAGCCUCAUCUCCCAACACCUCAAGACCAUACACCUUGAACGGGUGAACCUUGACUGCUCUGACCUGAAGUUCUCAGGCUGCCCAGUCUUACAGGAUCUAACAAUUCAAUUCUGCAAUAUUCAUGCACGCAAGAUGUCAUCCAAAUCACUAAAGCGCCUAUUCAUCAUCGACUGUUGUUCUUUACCUGACAUCGUGCGCCUUCGGAUUUGUGCCCCGAGUCUCAUCUCACUGCAGCUAGAGGUUUUUGAAGGCUUGACACCUUUUCUUGAAAACAUGCCAUUGCUAGAAACUGCCCAUGUUAACCUUGAUGGUGGAUGCCAUGAUCAUUGUCGCAGUAAUCGGGGGGUUUGUGAUAAUUUUGUCUGUGGUUGUCAUACAUAUCCUGUCAAGGAGGGGGUGCUUCUCAACGGUUUGUCCAAUGCUGCCAAGUUGGACUUGAUAGCUCUACCUAAAAUGUUUCUCUACAGAUGGGAUUUGAAAUGGUGCCCUGUCUUUGGCAAAUUAAAGACUCUGUUAAUCAAUAAAUGUUUUACGGCUAUUGACUUAGUUUGCAUUCUUCAACACUCUCCAGUUCUUGAGAUGCUCACUCUUCGGUUCGAUAAUACUGAGAACAUUGUAGGAGCAACAGGAGCCCAGGAAACAAUAGAACAACCACUUACGUGUGCAUGCCUUAAGUUUGUUCACAUUGAAUGUGAAAAGGUUGAUGAGGGGGUUCGUGAAAUUUUGAAUAUGUUGGGUAGAUUCGGCAUACUUCCAAAUUAG